GACGAACGCUGGCGGCGUGCUUAACACAUGCAAGUCGAGCGGAGCGGCGUACGGGUGAGUAACUCGUGAGUAACUGCCCCCCUCUCUGGGGUAACAGUUGGAAACGGCUGCUAAUAUCGGAUAGUGGGGGAUGACUCGCGUCCUAUCAGCUUGGUGGUGGGGUAGUGGCCUACCAAGGCGACGACGGGUAGCCGGCCUGAGAGGGGGACCGGCCAGAUAGGGCUGUGAUCAUGGCCAAGCCAGCAGGGGGGGGAGCGGUGGAGGAUAAGGCAAAAGGGGGGAGACCCUGAUGGAGGAUCGCGAGUGAUGGAUAACGGCCUUCGUGUUGUAAGCCGCUUGCAGCAAUGACGCGGUAGUGGCAGAAGAUGCACCGGCUAACUACGUGCUAGCCGCCGCGGUAAUAC
rnacentral:rRNA from 1 species